UGGGGAAUAUUGGACAAUGGGGGGAACCCUGAUCCAGCCAUGCCGCGUGUGUGAAGAAGGCCUUAUGGUUGUAAAGCACUUUAAGCGAGGAGGAGGGUACUGGUAUUAAUACUACCAGCUACUGGACGUUACUCGCAGAAUAAGCACCGGCUAACUCUGUGCCAGCAGCCGCGGUAAUACAGAGGGUGCGAGCGUUAAUCGAAUUUACUGGGCGUAAAGCGUGCGUAGGCGGCUAAUUGAGUCGGAUGUGAAAUCCCCGAGCUUAACUUGGGAAUUGCAUUCGAUACUGGUUAGCUAGAGUGUGGGAGAGGAUGGUAGAAUCCCAGGUGUAGCGGUGAAAUGCGUAGAGAUCUGGAGGAAUGCCGAUGGCGAAGGCAGCCAUCUGGCCUAACACUGACGCUGAGGUACGAAAGCAUGGGGAGCAAACAGG
rnacentral:rRNA from 1 species